rnacentral:tRNA from 1 species
GGUUUUAUAUUUUAAGUAAAAUUUUAAAUUGCAAAUUUAAAGAUAGAGCAUAAUACUCUUAAAACUU